GGGCGUUAAGUUGCAGGGUAUAGACCCGAAACCCGGUGAUCUAGCCAUGGGCAGGUUGAAGGUUGGGUAACACUAACUGGAGGACCGAACCGACUAAUGUUGAAAAAUUAGCGGAUGACCUGUGGCUGGGGGUGAAAGGCCAAUCAAACCGGGAGAUAGCUGGUUCUCCCCGAAAGCUAUUUAGGUAGCGCCUCGUGAAUUCAUCUCCGGGGGUAGAGCACUGUUUCGGCUAGGGGGCCAUCCCGGCUUACCAACCCGAUGCAAACUGCGAAUACCGGAGAAUGUUAUCACGGGAGACACACGGCGGGUGCUAACGUCCGUCGUGAAGAGGGAAACAACCCAGACCGCCAGCUAAGGUCCCAAAGUCAUGGUUAAGUGGGAAACGAUGUGGGAAGGCCCAGACAGCCAGGAUGUUGGCUUAGAAGCAGCCAUCAUUUAAAGAAAGCGUAAUAGCUCACUGGUCGAGUCGGCCUGCGCGGAAGAUGUAACGGGGCUAAACCAUGCACCGAAGCUGCGGCAGCGAACGUAUCACUUAAAGCGAUUCAGCGGGUUACGAUUGACGGAGCGAAGCGACGUCAAAGCGUAUACAAAGUCGAGUCGGUUUAAGGAUACGUUCGUUGGGUAGGGGAGCGUUCUGUAAGCCUGUGAAGGUGGCCUGUGAGGGUUGCUGGAGGUAUCAGAAGUGCGAAUGCUGACAUAAGUAACGAUAAAGCGGGUGAAAAGCCCGCUCGCCGGAAGACCAAGGGUUCCUGUCCAACGUUAAUCGGGGCAGGGUGAGUCGACCCCUAAGGCGAGGCCGAAAGGCGUAGUCGAUGGGAAACGGGUUAAUAUUCCCGUACUUGGUGUUACUGCGAAGGGGGGACGGAGAAGGCUAUGUUGGCCGGGCGACGGUUGUCCCGGUUUAAGCGUGUAGGUGUGUGUUCCAGGUAAAUCCGGUUCACUUUAACACUGAGGCGUGACGACGAGGCACUACGGUGCUGAAGCAACAAAUGCCCUGCUUCCAGGAAAAGCCUCUAAGCAUCAGGUAACAUCAAAUCGUACCCCAAACCGACACAGGUGGUCAGGUAGAGAAUACCAAGGCGCUUGAGAGAACUCGGGUGAAGGAACUAGGCAAAAUGGUGCCGUAACUUCGGGAGAAGGCACGCUGACACGUAGGUGAAGUGAUUUACUCAUGGAGCUGAAGUCAGUCGAAGAUACCAGCUGGCUGCAACUGUUUAUUAAAAACACAGCACUGUGCAAACACGAAAGUGGACGUAUACGGUGUGACGCCUGCCCGGUGCCGGAAGGUUAAUUGAUGGGGUCAGCGCAAG
rnacentral:rRNA from 1 species